rnacentral:lncRNA from 1 species
UGAUGGACGAUCGUGCUCUUUGGAAGGAGCCUCAGCGACACCUCUGCAAAGCCUUGCAGUGCACCUGCUGAGAUGAAGCUGGCACCAGGCCACACAUACUGACCUGACCUUUCCCAUCCACAUUCAGUCAGCCCACAGAACAGAGCUGCUGCAGAAGUCCUUUUCCAGCCAGCAUGCCCACAUUGUGGCCUUUGCCACAGAACCAAAGUCUCUGUGGAAAGAACAGUCAUCCUUGUUCAUGCUUUUGGAGAUGCUUCUUAAAUAUCUGUCAAAACCGAAUUGCUCAGAUAAAACCGUGGUCUCUUACCAUACCCGUGACAGUGGUCAAUGUGUACUGCUUAAUCACAAGUCUAUGCCAUUUUCUCCAGCCAGGAAAUGCCUACACAGGUGAAUGAAUCUAUACUG